UGCCGUCUCCCAUGCGCCUGUCCUCCUCAUCCUUAUCUCCCCUCUGUGUCUUGGCUCAUCCCCUCACGCACGUGCACCGCGGCCUCAUCCUCUCGCUGUUAACCCGGUCGCAAGUAGCUAGCAGCACACGCUUCUCCUCUGUCUCGCUCUCUCUUCCACUCACGCACAUGAGCAGCAGCCGCAGCAAGUCAAGCUCGCUAUUGCCUUGCUCAGUCGCUGCCGCCGAGCUGCUGCAGUGAGCACCCCCUGGAGCCCCUCCGUCGACCCAGGAGCUCCUCGUCAGCUCCCUCGUCCGCGAUCUCACACGCACUCGCAUGGCAUGUUUCAGUUCCGGCCAAAGGAUGAUGCACACCGCCGCCAUGAUUCUUUCUCCUCCGCUGCACGCGCCGCCAUGGCCGUUUUUGCCUCCGCCGGUCACCGUGGCCACCACCGAAGCACUUCAUCGACGACCGGCUACUCCACAGCUUCUCCAAGCCAACUUGCACCAUUGAGAGCUCCACCGUGAUCCACUGGACGUAAAGCGCGCACCCCCUUCGCCCCGGCCCGUCGCCGGCGCGAUGCUCACCGAGAACCACGCGUCGUCGUGCCGCCUUCCCCGCCGCCGGCUGUGCCCCGGCCGAGCCCGUCGGUCAGUACCUACCUGUGGUUGUUCCUCAUCGUGAGGCGUAGCUGAGGGUGCUCUCAGUUGGCCGAGCCGCUGUCUUUUUCCACCGUCGCCGGCGUGCAACCGCCGCCUCCUGCAGCUAAACUUCGGAACCUCGACGCCGCAACCAGUCGCAUGACUUCACGCCGCGUGCUGCCGUCGCCAUUGCCGCCGUCGAGCUUGCUCCGGCCACCUCCGAGCCGUGCGUGUCACUUGUCUCACUUCGCGAGGAUCCCCAUGGCGCACUGCACAUCUUGAUACCCUCCGUUGGCCGAGCCGUCGCCGGAACCGCCGCCUGCGUUGCCUCCAGCAAGCCUCACGAAAUAUUUUGUGUUCGUUGCUGUGGAUUUUCUUGGAUGAAUUUAUUUACAUCUUUUGGUGUUUAUCGAUCGAGUAUUUGGCGUGUACAUAAGUGCGAUCAACGAAUUGGAUGACAGAGAUCAGAAAUAUCACAAAGAAAUAAUGCCAGGAAAUCAUGGAGGCGAUGAUAUCGGGUCUUUCUAGGAUUCAACUCCCAGUCGGUUGCCUGUGGGCGGGUUUGAGGCACACCCGCUGGAUAUUUGAAUCUAUUUCAUUGUAUUUUUCCGCUGCAUAUCCUUUUAUAUUGUAGACCAGUUGGUCAUAAUGUUGUAAAUUUAAUCCAAUUAAACAUUUUCACCUUGUAAAA